rnacentral:rRNA from 1 species
UACGUAGGGACCGAGCGUUGUCCGGAAUCAUUGGGCGUAAAGAGCGUGUAGGCGGCCUGUUAAGUCUUGCGUGAAAUCUCGGGGCUCAACCCCGAGCGGUCGUGAGAAACUGGCAGGCUAGAGUGCGGGAGAGGAGAGUGGAAUUCCUGGUGUAGCGGUGAAAUGCGCAGAUAUCAGGAAGAACACCCGUGGCGAAGGCGGCUAUCUGGACAGAAACUGACGCUGAGGCGCGAAAGCUAGGGGGAGCAAACAGG